GACGAACGCUGGCGGCGUGCCUAAUACAAGCAAGUGGGACGCAAGAGAACACACUGUGCUUGCACACCGUGUUUUCUUGAGUCGCGAACGGGUGAGUAACGCGUAGGUAACCUGCCUAUUAGCGGGGGAUAACUAUUGGAAACGAUAGCUAAUACCGCAUAAUAUUAAUUAUUGCCUGAUAAUUGAGUGAAAGAUGCAAGCGCAUCACUAGUAGAUAGACGUGCGUUGUAUUAGCUAGUUGGUAAGGUAAGUGCUUACCAAGGCGACGAUACAUAGCCGACCUGAGAGGGUGAUCGGCAACACUGGGACUGAGACACGGCCCAGACUCCUACGGGAGGCAGCAGUAGGGAAUCUUCGGCAAUGGACGAAAGUCUGACCGAGCAACGCCGCGUGAGUGAAGGAGGUUUUCGGAUCGUAAAGCUCUGUUGUAAGUCAAGAACGUGUGUGAGAGUGGAAAGUUCACACAGUGACGGUAGCUUACCAGAAAGGGACGGCUAACUACGUGCCAGCAGCCGCAGUAA
rnacentral:rRNA from 1 species